AAAUUGAAGAGUUUGAUCAUGGCUCAGAUUGAACGCUGGCGGCAGGCCUAACACAUGCAAGUCGAACGGUAACAGGAGGCAGCUUGCUGCUUCGCUGACGAGUGGCGGACGGGUGAGUAAUGUCUGGGAAACUGCCUGAUGGAGGGGGAUAACUACUGGAAACGGUAGCUAAUACCGCAUAACGUCGCAAGACCAAAGAGGGGGGACCUU
rnacentral:rRNA from 1 species